rnacentral:tRNA from 1 species
CCUCGACGUAGUCGGCGUAGGUGAAGCAGUCGACGCUGUCGACGUCGACGACGAGCUGCUCGGGUUCGGUGGCCGAGCCGAUGA